rnacentral:rRNA from 1 species
GCCGUCUUCGGAUGGUGGACAGUGGCGCACGGGUGAGUAACACGUGGGGACCUGCCUGAUAGUAAGGAAAAACAGUUGGAAACGACUGCUAAUACCUUAUACGCCCUUCGGAGGAAAGAUUUAUCGCUAUCAGAUGGACCCGCGCUAGAUUAGAUAGUUGGUGAGGUAAUGGCUCACCAAGUCUGCGAUCUAUAGCUGGUUUGAGAAGAUGAUCAGCCACAUUGGGACUGAGACACGGCCCAGACUCCUACGGGAGGCAGCAGUGGGGAAUAUUGUACAAUGGGGGCAACCCUGAUACAGCAAUGCCGCGUGAGUGAAGAAGGCCUUAGGGUUGUAAAACUCUUUCGCUAGGGAAGAUAAUGACGGUACCUAGUAAAGAAGUCCCGGCUAACUCCGUGCCAGCAGCCGCGGUAAUACGGAGGGGACUAGCGUUGUUCGGAAUUACUGGGCGUAAAGAGUUCGUAGGCGGAUAAGCAAGUAAGAGGUGAAAGCCCAGGGCUCAACCCUGGAACUGCCUUUUAAACUGCUUAUCUAGAG